rnacentral:rRNA from 1 species
AUUGAACGCUGGCGGCAGGCCUAACACAUGCAAGUCGAGCGGAUGAAGGGAGCUUGCUCCUGGAUUCAGCGGCGGACGGGUGAGUAAUGCCUAGGAAUCUGCCUGGUAGUGGGGGAUAACGUCCGGAAACGGGCGCUAAUACCGCAUACGUCCUGCGGGGGAAAGUGGGGGAUCUUCGGACCUCACGCUAUCAGAUGAGCCUAGGUCGGAUUAGCUAGUUGGUGGGGUAAGGGCCUACCAAGGCGACGAUCCGUAACUGGUCUGAGAGGAUGAUCAGUCACACGGGAAGUGAGACACGGUCCAGAGUCCUACGGGAGGCAGCAGUGGGGAAUAUGGGACAAUGGGCGAAAGCCUGAUCCAGCCAUGCCGCGUGUGUGAAGAAGGUCUUCGGAUUGUAAAGCACUUUAAGUUGGGAGGAAGGGCAUUAAGUUAAUACCUUGCUGGUUUGACGGUACCAACAGAAUAAGCACCGGCUAACUUCGUG